rnacentral:rRNA from 1 species
CCCCAGGUCANGCGGGACUACCCGCUGAGU